GCUCUGCUCUGGAGUCAAAGAGCUGGGGGUGUUCAGCCUGGAGAAGAGAAGGCUCCUGGGAGAACUUAGAGCCCCUUGCAGUGCCUAAAGGGUCUACAAGAGAGCUGGAGAGGGAUUUUGAACAAGGGGGAAUAACCUAAAGAUGGAGGAAGGCAGG